GGGGAUGUAGCUCAGUGGUAGAGCAUUCGACUGCAGAUCGAGAGGUCCUCGGUUCAAUCCCGGGCGUCCCCU
rnacentral:tRNA from 1 species